rnacentral:rRNA from 1 species
UACGGAGGGUGCAAGCGUUAUCCGGAUUCACUGGGUUUAAAGGGUGCGUAGGCGGGCAGGUAAGUCAGUGGUGAAAUCCCCGAGCUUAACUUGGGAACUGCCGUUGAUACUAUCUGUCUUGAAUACCGUGGAGGUGAGCGGAAUAUGUCAUGUAGCGGUGAAAUGCUUAGAUAUGACAUAGAACACCAAUUGCGAAGGCAGCUCGCUACACGAAUAUCGACGCUGAGGCACGAAAGCGUGGGGAGCAAACAGG